AGAGUUUGAUCAUGGCUCAGAACGAACGCUGGCGGCAGGCUUAACACAUGCAAGUCGAACGCUGUAGCAAUACAGAGUGGCAGACGGGUGAGUAACACGUGGGAACAUGCCCUUCGGUUCGGAAUAACUCAGGGAAACUUGAGCUAAUACCGGAUACGUCCGCGAGGGAAAGAUUCAUCGCCGAAGGAUCGGCCCGCGUCUGAUUAGCUAGUUGGUGAGGUAACGGCUCACCAAGGCGACGAUCAGUAGCUGGUCUGAGAGGAUGAUCAGCCACAUUGGGACUGAGACACGGCCCAAACUCCUACGGGAGGCAGCAGUGGGGAAUAUUGGACAAUGGGCGAAAGCCUGAUCCAGCCAUGCCGCGUGAGUGAUGAAGGCCUUAGGGUUGUAAAGCUCUUUUACCUGGGAAGAUAAUGACGGUACCAGGAGAAUAAGCCCCGGCUAACUUCGUGCCAGCAGCCGCGGUAAUACGAAGGGGGCUAGCGUUGUUCGGAUUUACUGGGCGUAAAGCGCACGUAGGCGGAUUCUUAAGUCAGGGGUGAAAUCCCGAGGCUCAACCUCGGAACUGCCUUUGAUACUGGGGAUCUUGAGUUCGGGAGAGGUGAGUGGAACUGCGAGUGUAGAGGUGAAAUUCGUAGAUAUUCGCAAGAACACCAGUGGCGAAGGCGGCUCACUGGCCCGAUACUGACGCUGAGGUGCGAAAGCGUGGGGAGCAAACAGGAUUAGAUACCCCCGUAGUCC
rnacentral:rRNA from 1 species